GGCUCGUUGGUCCAGGGGUAUUAUUUUCGCUUAUAAUGCGAGAGGACCUGGGUUUAAAUCCUAGACGAGCCC
rnacentral:tRNA from 1 species